rnacentral:rRNA from 1 species
UGGAUCCAGACUUUGAUCCUGGCUCAGGACGAACGCUGGCGGCGUGCCUAACACAUGCAAGUCGAACGGAACUUUUUCAGAAGAUUCUUUCGGGAUGAUUUUGGUUAAGUUUAGUGGCGGACGGGUGAGUAACGCGUGAGUAACCUGCCUUUGAGAGGGGAAUAACAAUCUGAAAAGAUCGCUAAUACCGCAUAACAUAUACGAAUCGCAUGGUUUGUAUAUCAAAGAUUUUAUCGCUCAAAGAUGGACUCGCGUCCGAUUAGUUAGUUGGUGAGGUAACGGCUCACCAAGACCGCGAUCGGUAGCCGGACUGAGAGGUUGAACGGCCACAUUGGGACUGAGACACGGCCCAGACUCCUACGGGAGGCAGCAGUGGGGAAUAUUGCGCAAUGGGGGCAACCCUGACGCAGCAACGCCGCGUGAAGGAUGAAGGUUUUCGGAUUGUAAACUUCUUUUAUUAAGGACGAAUAAUGACGGUACUUAAUGAAUAAGCUCCGGCUAACUACGUGCCAGCAGCCGCGGUAAUACGUAGGGAGCAAGCGUUGUCCGGAUUUACUGGGUGUAAAGGGUGCGUAGGCGGCUUUGCAAGUCAGAUGUGAAAUCUAUGGGCUCAACCCAUAAACUGCAUUUGAAACUGUAGAGCUUGAGUGAAGUAGAGGCAGGCGGAAUUCCCCGUGUAGCGGUGAAAUGCGUAGAGAUGGGGAGGAACACCAGUGGCGAAGGCGGCCUGCUGGGCUUUAACUGACGCUGAGGCACGGAAGCGUGGGUAGCAAACAGGAUUAGAUACCCUGGUAGUCCACGCUGUAAACGAUGAUUACUAGGUGUGGGGGGUCUGACCCCUUCCGUGCCGGAGUUAACACAAUAAGUAAUCCACCUGGGGAGUACGGCCGCAAGGUUGCAACUCAA